rnacentral:rRNA from 1 species
UACGUAGGGGGCAAGCGUUGUCCGGAAUCAUUGGGCGUAAAGAGCUCGUAGGCGGCUUAGCAAGUCAGGUGUGAAAACUCCAGGCUCAACCUGGAGACGCCACUUGAUACUGCUAUGGCUUGAGUACGGUAGGGGAUCACGGAAUUCCUGGUGUAGCGGUGAAAUGCGCAGAUAUCAGGAGGAACACCGAUGGCGAAGGCAGUGAUCUGGGCCGAUACUGACGCUGAGGAGCGAAAGCGUGGGUAGCGAACAGG